UACGUAGGGGGCAUGCGUUGUCCGGAUUUAUUGGGCGUAAAGAGCGUGUAGGCGGUUAGGUAGGUCCGUUGUGAAAACUCGAGGCUCAACCUCGAGACGCCGAUGGAAACCAUCUGACUAGAGUCCGGAAGAGGAGAGUGGAAUUCCUGGUGUAGCGGUGAAAUGCGCAGAUAUCAGGAAGAACACCCGUGGCUAAGGCGGCUCUCUAGUACGUGACUGACGCUGAGACGCGAAAGCGUGGGGAGCGAACAGG
rnacentral:rRNA from 1 species